rnacentral:rRNA from 1 species
UACGUAGGGUGCAAGCGUUAUCCGGAAUUAUUGGGCGUAAAGAGCUCGUAGGCGGUUUGUCGCGUCUGCUGUGAAAACUGGAGGCUCAACCUCCAGCCUGCAGUGGGUACGGGCAGACUAGAGUGCGGUAGGGGAGAUUGGAAUUCCUGGUGUAGCGGUGGAAUGCGCAGAUAUCAGGAGGAACACCGAUGGCGAAGGCAGAUCUCUGGGCCGUAACUGACGCUGAGGAGCGAAAGCUAGGGGAGCGAACGGG